AACGAACGCUGGCGGCGUGGAUUAGGCAUGCAAGUCGAACGCGAAAGAGGGGGCAACUCCUCGAGUAGAGUGGCGAACGGGUGAGUAACACGUGGGUGACCUGCCCUCAGCUCUGGGAUAAGCCUGGGAAACCGGGUCUAAUACCGGAUAUGACUCCAUGACGCAUGUUGUGGGGUGGAAAGCCUUGUGCGGCUGAGGAUGGGCCCGCGGCCUAUCAGCUUGUGGGGGUGAUGGCCUACCAAGGCGACGACGGGUAGCCGGCCUGAGAGGGCGACCGGCCACACUGGGACUGGAGACACGGCCCAGACUCCUACGGGAGGCAGCAGUGGGGAAUCUUGCGCAAUGGGCGAAAGCCUGACGCAGCGACGCCGCGUGAGGGAUGACGGCCUGGUGUAA
rnacentral:rRNA from 1 species